rnacentral:rRNA from 1 species
GACGAACGCUGGCGGCGUGCUUAACACAUGCAAGUCGAACGCUGAAGCUUGGUGCUUGCACUGGGUGGAUGAGUGGCGAACGGGUGAGUAAUACGUGAGUAACCUGCCCUUGACUCUGGGAUAAGCCUGGGAAACUGGGUCUAAUACUGGAUACGAAACUGGCCCGCAUGGGCAUGGUUUGGAAAGUUUUUCGGUUUGGGAUGGGCUCGCGGCCUAUCAGCUUGUUGGUGAGGUAAUGGCUCACCAAGGCGACGACGGGUAGCCGGCCUGAGAGGGCGACCGGCCACACUGGGACUGAGACACGGCCCAGACUCCUACGGGAGGCAGCAGUGGGGAAUAUUGCACAAUGGGCGAAAGCCUGAUGCAGCGACGCCGCGUGAGGGAUGACGGCCUUCGGGUUGUAAACCUCUUUCAGCAGGGAAGAAGCGAAAGUGACGGUACCUGCAGAAGAAGCACCGGCUAACUACGUG